rnacentral:rRNA from 1 species
GAUGAACGCUGGCGGCGUGCCUAAUACAUGCAAGUCGAGCGAACAGACGAGGAGCUUGCUCCUCUGACGUUAGCGGCGGACGGGUGAGUAACACGUGGAUAACCUACCUAUAAGACUGGGAUAACUUCGGGAACCCGGAGCUAAUACCGGAUAAUAUAUUGAACCGCAUGGUUCAAUAGUGAAAGCCGGUUUUGCUGUCACUUAUAGAUGGAUCCGCGCCGCAUUAGCUAGUUGGUAAGGUAACGGCUUACCAAGGCGACGAUGCGUAGCCGACCUGAGAGGGUGAUAGGCCACACUGGAACUGAGACACGGUCCAGACUCCUACGGGAGGCAGCAGUGGGGAAUCUUCCGCAAUGGGCGAAAGCCUGACGGAGCAACGCCGCGUGAGUGAUGAAGGUCUUCGGAUCGUAAAACUCUGUUAUUAGGGAAGAACAAAUGUGUAAGUAACUAUGCACGUCUUGACGGUACCUAAUCAGAAAGCAACGGCUAACUACGUG